AUUUAAAAAUUCUUGAAAAGAUAUUUAUUUACAUCUUUAAAAGAAGAUUUAUUUGAGAAACACAAAAACACAUAGGCCACUUUACACAAUAAAAUAGGCAAUAAUAUCAUACAUAUUUUUGCAAGCAUAAAUACUCAAGUGUACUAACAACAGUUAUACAAGUAUGACAGUUAUGAGCAGAUGUACUAUAUUCAUAAAGAAAUAGGUUACAAAUGGAAAUGUAUAAAUGCAUACCACCAUAGUUAGUAGUUGUAGGCACCCAGAUUUAUAACGGCAGUCAUCUGAAAUACCAUGAUGAACAUCCUAAGUCUUUUGAUGACAUCAAUAAAAAACCAUGGUGCGUCACCACCAAAUAUGCAGUCACCCAAAGGGCCAAGAUCUCAAGAAAUGUUAUUUUUACAAAUGCAGAUGUACAAAAAAGGACAUAUUUUCCUUUACUGAGGAAGCUUCAAUGUUUUUACAUACAUGUACAAUGCUUACACACAAGCCAACAUUGUGAUGCUGUACUUUCAUGGAGUCAAAUUUGUAAAAGCUGCAUAAAACAAAUUAGAACUCUGAAAGCCUCUAUACAAUUUAUACUACAAGUAUUGGAAAUGAUGCAAAGAUGAGAUAUGAAGGGUAGUGAAUUGUAAAAAAUAAUACUGACAAUUUUAAAUAGUAGGGGGAAAACCCCAAAAGAUUUAAAAACUAAAAAGAAAAUUUGACAUAUUGAAAAGUGUAUUAUAGGGAUAGAUUAUGGGCAAUUGCACAGAGAUAGUCCAUAAGAGCUAGCUGAUUUUCAUGAUUAUUAACUAUGUUUUGAAGUCUUGCAUCAUGAUAAAUAGCUGCUUAUUAUUUUUUUGGACACAGAUCUCCUUGGAAAAUACAUUCACAUUCAUUUUCUAUGUGGCACUGCUCUUUUUGAAAUCCUUCUAUGAUACAAUACACACUGACAUUAGCAUUUCCUAUUAAAUUUUCCAAUCUUUUGAGCCCUGCUUCUGUGUUGUUUUGAGUACUCCAAAAUGCAUUCCACAAGCGUGCAUAUACAGACCACAAAUUUGGUGGAAACGAUAAUGGCGAUCAAACAGUAACACAUUGUAACACCAUUGGCUGUCUCCUUAUCCUACCACGAAAAUAAUUGUUUUCAAACUAGUCAAUAACGUCACCAGCUUCUUCAGGCAAAUGUGGCUUUAAUUCAUUAAAAGCUCCUGGAAUGUCAUCAGCUAGAAGGAAUGUCAAUGCAGGCCAAGGAAACAUUCUUAAACAGAAGUUUUCAUAACUGCAAUAUUGCUUGGCCAAACAACUCAUCUGAAUUUUCCACCAGAUGCAAAUAAAGACAACAGCAAGGUAAUAGUUCCGCCUAACGUGAUGCAACUAACAUAAUGUAACUGCUCUGUGUGCAACCGAAACCCCCACUAAUCCCACCUCCAGAAUUCAGCUUUCAGGAUGAUGGUGUUUGGGAUUGUGUUUUUUUGGAUUAAGAUCCAAAAGCCACUCUUCCUGUCCCCCAACAGGGUCAAGUGAGUCAAACGAGUCAUUCACAGCAGCUUCAGAGUUCACAAAGCCUUUUUACAGUUUGCGUAUCUCCAACCCUUCGCUACAAUCCUAGACAGCAAGGAGGGAAGGAAUUAUGAUUUUCAUUUUACAGGUGAGGAAAUCAGAACUCAGAGAGGUUGUGACUUGCCCAAGAUUUCCCAACAGGCAAAUGUCAGAGCCUGGAUCAGACUUCAGACUCAGGCCCCCUCUUUUUCUCCAGUGCCGUGUCACCUCUCACUAAGGGGUCAUCUAAUCCAGCCUGCUAUCUGAUAUACUAAUGCCUUCAACAACGUCCCUGUCCAGUGACUAUCCAGCUUCUGCCUAAACACUCCCCAAGACACGAGCCUCACUACCAUUCCCUGAAGCAGCGAGAUGCAUCUUUAGACAGCUCUGCCAGAAAACACUUGCUCAGUCAGGGUCAAAAUCAGCCGUCUUGUAACACUCCUGUCUGAGACCUCAGUAAUCAUGCCAUGCAGCCAUUCAAAUGCCUUCUGCGACACAGAUGCCGGCCCACUUCCAGCAUCUGCUCGCUCACCUCCAGUUUGGGGAAUUCAACACCACUCAAGCCGACCCUUUCCUUCUUUGAGUAUUUAAAAAUCAUCCUCCCUCCCGCAACUCCUCCCCACUGGCUUUGUCCUCUGUGGCCCCCACAGACCACAUCUGUUCCUUCUGCCCCAGGGUAGCCCCUCAGAGACAACGACCAUGCCCCUAAGUUUUAUUUUUCUUCUGGCUGCAGCCUUAACAGGUCACCAGGGACGGGAUGCUCUGUCCUGCUAGCCUGACUUCCUCUACUUCCCUUUCCCCUGAGCACAUGGACCCCCACAUUUCCACAGGAGGCCAACGUCAUGUCUAUAAUAACAACUACUGCCAUACACUGUGUGUUCACCAUGUGCCAGGCACCUUAAUGAGUGCUCUGCUUGUAUUCCAUCUUCAAUAACUCUGCAUUAUUAUUCCCAUUAGACUGCCUAUGUAUACAUGGCUGUCACUCUGGGUUGAGGGGACAACUGCAGGAAUCUGAAGGAUGGAUGUGACCAGAAACAACCCAGGUUUGAACCUGUGUCAGUCCCAAGACUCCAGGCCCCAAGGAAGGUGGAGGAGUUCAGAGGUAUACAGAAUCUGAUUAUGGGCACAGACCACAGGGGCAAAAGACUUGGGUUUAAAUUGUAACCGUUUACCGACUAUGUGACUUUGGGCAAGUCACUUCACCUCUCUCAGCCUCCAUUUCUUCAUGUUUAAAAUGGAGCCAGUAGCAGGGAGCUAGUAGUAUGGAGCCCACAUGUUGCAGUAAGGAGACAAUGAAUGCUGGCUCAGUGCUCAGCCAUGGAAGCUAACACCAACAUUGUCAUCAAUAUUAUUACAGAGAGAUCAUACCCAGGGCUGAGGCUGGUGCAUGUCAUAGUCUUGUCCCCCCUACACACACACACUGAGCCUGGUCAGACACAGUGUCUUCCUGCACCCCCACGCACCUUCCAGCAAAUGCCUGAAACCUGAGGUGGGUGCAGAUGGGCUAUAUGAGGGAGGGGUGUGAGAAGCCUGAGGGGGCAUGGCUUGUAAUGAACUGGGCAUCACUCAAACUUCUCUACAGUAAAGAGAAAGGGCAAUGGACAGGAAAUAAAGGGUGAAAGAGAGUGAGGAGAUAGAAAGAAAAAGACUGAAAAUGCUGCCAUCUCACUGCUAAUGAAAGCAUGGCUUCAGGCAAGUUAUUUUCCCUUCUGAGCCUCCAUGUGCAACUCUGUCAAAUGGGCUAGUAACUCUGUCUGAGCCUCCAUGUGCAACUCUGUCAAAUGGGCUGACUGGGGUGAGGAUGAAGUGAGGUGCUGCACCUGGAAGCCCCCAGCCAAGGUGUAGCCCACAGGAGCCCUCAGGGAAGCUCUGCUCCUGGGCAGGGAGAGCUCUGUCCAGCACGGCAAUCCACAAGAACAACAAUAUAAUCAGAACAACAUGAUGCCUACUGUUUUCCAAAUACUGUGUGGGGCCAGUCCUCACAGCAACCUUUGAGGAAGGUGUCAUUAUCCUCACUUACAGGUGAACAAACUGACAGUUAAGCAGGAAGCAGGUAACAUGUACAAAGUCACCCAGUAAGCCAAGAUGCCAGGACUGGCACCUGGGUCUGGCUGAUGCCAAAUUUUGUUCCCCGAAAAUCAAACUGUGGAUCCCCUGUGAGCCAGGCACUGGGUGUGAGAGCCUUUCCAUAAAUCUUCCCUCCUAGCCCAAGGAUCACCCUGGACCACUUCCACUGGGGAUGAUGGAGGAAGACUAGACAGAAGCCCAGUGCCCUGAGUUCUGGUCCCCUCUCUGCUACAAGACGCUGCAUGGUCACAGGCUACUCCUUCCUGCUCCUCAGCCUCAGUUUCUUUAUCUGUAUCAUGGAGGUCCUGGAAGUCCGGACUUUCAGGGUUUUCUGACUAACACUGAGAUUGCGCACACAGUAGCAGGAAGUUGGAGGAGGAAAGUCAUCUUAAUGGGAGCAGAGUACUGCAUUCCUCUAUCCCUUAAUAACCACUAAUUAGUUAAUCCCUGUAGCAGCAAAGUGAGUUAUCAGGUAUUAUUAGCCCCAAUUUACAAGCAGGAGGUUGAAGGAGAGAAGAACUGACAGAGGGAUUGGUCCCAGGCUCUAGGCAGAGUUGGGAUCAGUGAAAACCCAACAGACACUACAAAUUGCUUCAAGAUUGGGGGAGGAGCAGCAGAGAAGCGAGGGAGGCCUCAAAGGGGAGGAACCACACAGGAAGGUGCUUCUGAUCCUCAUGAAGUUGAGGUCCCUCUGAGGGCACCUGGGCCUGCUCUGUCUAUGCACAGAUGUGUGGACCUAGGCCCAGAGAUGGAGAGAGACUGGCCCAAGGUCACACAGCCAAAAGUGCAGACAAGGAGUGCAGAGCUCCAUCGGUUCUCAGCUGAGGCUGUUCUGAUGGGGGUUGGGGCGAUGGCUUCUAAGAGCUGAGCUUCUUCCAUGGCCCUCCCUGAAUUCCUAGAGAAGCAGCCAGCUGUAAGCCCCCAGGGAUGGUGUGUGUACUAAUGGCCUGUGACAAAGGCAGAGGAUAAGCUCCCUGCUCUGCAGACUAAACAAGGCACAAGAAGCCAAGUCAAACAAAAGCUGAGGUUUUGUGUCGGCCCAGCUGGUGGGCUAGAAGCGGCCCAGCCUCUUGGGAGGCCAGGCCCUGAGCCAUCACCUGGAAUCUCCUCUGGUGGCCUUUCUCCCUUUUGCCACUGAGGGCUGCACAGAAGCAUGUCCACAACACAUGUCCUCACUCUGUGACCAACCCUGCUUUGUAGCACACAAUGCACUUUCAUCACAAGGCCCCAAGAUGACAAAACUGAGGCUCAGAGAGGGGAAGGAAGAUGCUUACCCCAAGUCACAUAGCAAGUUAGGCAGGAGACUGGGCACAAGACCUCCUGACUUCCGCACCACCACAACCCUCAAAUUUUUUUUAAUGAGUGUUUUUCUUUAAAACAUAGUAUGAACACUGGAACAGAGGGAAAUGCAGUAUUCCAAUUUCCAUCCACAGUGUUGUCCGACCUGGCAUCUCACUGGAGUCCCCAAGCACAGGCCCUGGCAGCAGACCAGGCUGGGUUCAAGUCCUACUCCUGCCUUUUGCUAGCCCCACGGCUUUGGCAAAUUACUGCAGUUGGAAUUAUUAACUGUUGGAAUUAUUAAAUUGUUGGAAUUAUUAAGUGAACUAAUGGGCACAGACAUUUUGUUCCACACUUAGCAUAUAGUAAGCACCCAAUUAUUGCUAUUGCCAUUAGCAGCUCCGGCACUUACCUGCCAGGUGUGCAAGGCCCUCAACUGCUAAGCCUUCUGUCUCAAAUGAGACAUCACCAAGAUUUCUCCUAACUCCAGAGCCCUGUAGUCUCCACCACCUGGCCCAAAUGAAACGAUGGACCCCAGAAUCAGGGAAGUAUGGUGGGAACCUGUGUCACUUCCCUGUUUCUCUUUCUAACCAGGCUCCUUGCCCCUCCCCCAGGCUCCACACACCUGCAGCAGAAUGUUCCGGGAUGUGAGUCUGCACAGCAGCCAGUCUGCCCAUUCUCAGAGCUGCUCAGUUGAGUCACUCCUAGUGUUGUUCUGGGAGAAGGUGGAGACUUUCAUGUCCCUUCUCUGGCAGUGCUGCUCCUAAGCGUGUAGGGAGACAAAUCCCCCUGCCUUGUUUUGGGUACAAACAGUGGAAACAUAGGCAUCCUACCUGCAGAAGACUUAGGAGUCAGUCUCCAUCAACCCCUUGGAUCACGUGUCAAAGGGGUCCUCACCACAGCCCUAAUCGUGCAGGGAUUGCUCUGGUGUUUUCAGAACACAGCUCCUGUUCUAUAUUGCAGAGCUCACUUUCAAAAAAUUGAGAAUGAUUUGGCUUCAGGCCUGGGGUCAUUUCUCACUUCUUGUCUCCUGGUUCCCAACAGGAGCAAGAAGAGAUCUGCCUGGUGGGGAUUAAGGUGACACUGCUCUCUACCAGCUAGGGAGGUGCAACAGGACAUGUGAGGAGAUUACCUACCUGCCCCUGCUUACCUUUCUGUGUGUCAAGUUUAAGCCCCUAGAGGGUUAUGUGUAAUACUGUUUAGGAAUCUUAAACGAUAGAGACCCUAUUGCUGGGAUUAUAGGGUGUGGAGACAUUCUCGCCUUUCACACUGAGGCUUGGGAUGGCUGCCAACCUCAGUGCGUCAUGCCAGUUGCUGAGCCCUACUUUGCACAGAAGUGACUUAUUCCAGUGUAUUUAAAAUAACUAAUGUCCCAGGAGCCCCUUAUCUUUAGAGCACAUUCUGCCAUUGACUGAUAUGGACUCAAAGGAAAGUUUCCAGACCCAACUGUAGCUGGGAAAUUAUUGGGUCUGUGUUAAAAGACUCCACUCCUCAGGGUGCUUGCCAUGAGACUUUAGACAGGUCAUUUUCCCUGUCUGGGCUUCCAUUUCCUAACCUGUUACCAAAACAUAAUAACUUCCAGCAAUGUCUGGUUUUCAUGGCUAGGUGAACAUCCUUUCUAAUACCACAAAUUCAAGGGCUUAUUAUUGUUUCCUGAAAAAGUAUAGAGUUAUGGCUUCCAAGCAUCAGUUGAAAAGUAGAAAAGUAGAAAAGUCACAGUAGAAAAGUCAGUAUAAGAUAAUCGGAGGACUGUUAUUGGAAAGAACUGAUUGGCCUUUAGUCAAGUGUGUGUCUUUCCUAAUUAUUUUAUUGGGGGCUAUUAAAAUGUCCUUCUUUUGGAAAAUGGUGGCAGAUCUUAGCUUUUGAAGUUUAUAAGUUUCUUUGUUUGGCCUGACUUGGAAAACAAAAAAAAUGGACAUUCCAUGCAGAUUUCCCCUAUUUUUACUUGAAAUAUUGGUCAAUCCAAAAGUCUGAGAACUAUUGGCUUAAAAGACCAAGACUGUGCCUAUUAAACUGGUUUUACUGGCCAUGAAAUGGUUAAGUAGUAACAUCCCAGAACUGCUAUAAUCAUGGGAUGCUAGUUACUCCCUCUACUCAGAUCCUAAUUAAAAAGUACCUCCUAAAAAUGAAUUUUUAGGUGAUGAACAAGUUCCGAGAGACAACAUAGUACGGUGGUUAAGGACACAGGCUCUGGAGUCUUGCCAUCUGCGUUCAAAUUCUGCUUCUGCAAUUUACCAGCUGUUAACCUCUCUGGACCUUAGCUUCCUUAUCUGGAAGGUGGGGAUAAUAAAAGCACCCAACCCACAGAAUUGUUUUAAGGAUUAAAUACAUUAAGCCAUGUGAAACACUUAGAACAGGGUUGGCACAUAGCAAGUGUUCAAAAUACAGUACCUAUUAUUAUUAUAGGCAUUUACAUUUUAGUAAAGCAAUAAGUGUGUCUCCAAGUCAAUGAAUUCCAUCUCGGUGUGUGAAAGUUGUAGCUGCAAUAUCGAAAGUACUCCCUGUAAUCUUUGAGAACAACUCGCAGAGAAAAGGAAAAGUAGCAAAAAGUUGAGUAGUGUUAAAUGUUUUGAUUUCCAAAAUAAUAAAAGAAAAUGUAUCUGAAAGACUGCACUUAUCCUCUUAUCAACAAGGCAGUCUGUCCGAAAAUAGAAAACAAAUGGCAAAGAGAUGAAAAUAGUGGAGAAAAUGUAAGAAAAAUAAGGACGAAUUCAGUAAAUUUGACUAAUAGUACUUCCAGACAGUGAAAAAAAGAAGGUGAAAAAUUAUUUUCUUUAAAAAGAGAUUGAUUUCUCCAGAACCCAAGGGCAUAAGUCUCCAGAAUGAAAGAAUCCUUGAGAAUCAGGUCCAUAGAUUAAAAAACAAACAAACAAACAAAAAGCUCCACAAAACAAUUACUGCAAAGUACAAGAAUACUGGUGAUAAAGAAAAGAUUCUAUGAGGUUCCAAACAGCAAAACCAGGUCACGUACAAAAAUGGUCAGCAAUUAUAGUGAUUGAAGACUUCUCAGAAAGUAACACUGGAAGUGAGAAGAUGAUGGAACAUUGCCUCCAAAAUUCUGAAGGAAAAUUAUUUUUGACCUAGAAUUCAAUUCCCAGCUAAAUGAAAGAAUAGAAUAGAGACAUUUCAUACAAGCAAAAUUUCAAAAUAUUUUCUAUCAGGGCUGUGCUGAGCCAUAUUGGAGGCCGAAGCAAAAGGAAAAGUCAGUAAUGCUGACUUUGUCUUUAUCUAAAAUUCUGAUAUGUUUUUCAUAAUGAUUAUUUUGCACUAAUUUUUAUAUUUUAAAAUGCUGUUUAAAAUAUCAUUUAUUGUGAUUAUUGAGAUUUUGGGUGCUCUCUUGCAUUUUGCACUUGAAGCAAGUGCCUCACUUUCCUUUCUCUUGUCCCAUCCUUAAUUCCCAUGACCUUUCUUGGGAAGUUACUGAAAUAUGUGCUUCCCUCAAAAAAGGAGAAAAUCAAGAAGGAGAAAGACAUGGACACAAGGGCAAGGCAUGAAACACGGCAGAAAGAUCAAGGGAAUUCCUGUAGUGUUGGUGAAGGGUGAUCCUAGGGUGAUAACCAUGCCCAAAUCAGAGAGGCCAAGAGACCUAGAUUGCAGCAAGACAGAAGGCAAGAAGUGGAAACUGGUAAGUUCAUACGAAAACACAGAGAGGAGGGCAUUAAGGAUGGUAAUAAUUUUUUUUAAUUCAGCAAAUGAAAACACAGAUAAUUAUUAUCUCCAGACAAAACCAAAAGUCCAAAAAUGGAAAUAAAUAAAUAAAUAAAUAAAUAAAUAAAUAAAUAGUAUUCUACUAGUUCAGCUGUGAAAAGCAUUUAGAUAAUACUAUAAACACUGACUAUUGAUCUAAUUAACAUUAUGAUAUGACUAUAUUAGGAGGAUGGGGUAAUAGGAAGGAUGGGUACACAUGGUGGAAAUAGGUGUAAAAGAAAGCUAAAUCUUUAUUUUCCAUAGUGUUAAGCCCAAAAUCUGAAAUAUUAAGUAGUAGCUGACACCGAAAGCACAUGCAACAAAAGCAAAAAUAAACAACUGGGACUAUAUCAAAUUAAAUAGUUUCUUCACAGCAAAGGUAACCAUCAACAAAACAAAAAGACAUCCAACCUAUGGAAUAGGAGAAAAUAUUUCCAAAUCUAAUAUGUCCGAUAAGGAGUUAAUAUUUAAAAUAUAUAAGAAAUUCAGACAAUCAAUAGCAAAAAACCCCAAAUAACCAAAUUUAAAAAGGAUCAAAAGACCUGAAUAGGUAUUUUUCCUAAGAAUACAAAUGAUCAACAGGUAUAUAAAAAGAAUCUCAACUGGGUGCAGUGGCUCACACCUGUAAUCCCAGCACU
rnacentral:lncRNA from 1 species